rnacentral:rRNA from 1 species
UACGUAGGGUGCAAGCGUUAAUCGGAAUUACUGGGCGUAAAGCGUGCGCAGGCGGUGAUGUAAGACAGAUGUGAAAUCCCCGGGCUCAACCUGGGAAUUGCAUCUGUGACUGCAUAGCUAGAGUACGGUAGAGGGGGAUGGAAUUCCGCGUGUAGCAGUGGAAAUGCGUAGAUAUGCGGAGGAACACCGAUGGCGAAGGCAAUCCCCUGGACCUGUACUGACGCUCAUGCACGAAAGUGUGGGGAUCGAAA